GACAGUAUGGCCGAGCGGUCUAAGGCGAUAGACUAGAAAUCUAUUCUCUUCGGAGGCGUCGGUUCAAAUCCGACUGCUGUCG
rfam:Aspergillus aculeatus ATCC 16872 unplaced genomic scaffold ASPACscaffold_1, whole genome shotgun sequence.